GACAGAGGGUGCAAACGUUGCUCGGAAUCACUGGGCGUAAAGGGCGUGUAGGCGGGAAGGAUAGUCAGAUGUGAAAGCCCUGGGCUCAACCCAGGAACUGCAUUUGAAACUCCCUUUCUUGAGUGUCGGAGAGGAAAGCGGAAUUCCUGGUGUAGAGGUGAAAUUCGUAGAUAUCAAGCGGAACACCGGUGGCGAAGGCGGUUCUCUGGGCCUUACCUGACGCUGAGGAGCGAAAGCAUGGGGAGCAAACAGG
rnacentral:rRNA from 1 species